rnacentral:rRNA from 1 species
GACGAACGCUGGCGGCGUGCCUAAUACAUGCAAGUAGAACGCUGAAGGGAGGAGCUUGCUCUUCUUGGAUGAGUUGCGAACGGGUGAGUAACGCGUAGAUAACAUGCCUUGUAGAGGGGGAGAAAUAUUGGGGAAAAUAGCUCAUACAGCAUAACCAUGCAUGACCCAUGUCAUUUAUUAGAAAGGAGCAAAUGCUCCAAUAUAAGCUGGACCUGCGUGUGAUUAGCUAGUCGGUGGGGUAACGGCCCACCAAGGCGACGAUCCAUAGCCGGCCUGAGAGGGUGAACGGCCACACUGGGACUGAGACACGGCCCAGACUCCUACGGGAGGCAGCAGUAGGGAAUCUUCGGCAAUAGGGGCAAGUCUGACCGAGCAACGCCGCGUGAGUGAAGAAGGUCUUCGGAUCGUAAAGCUCUGUUGUAAGUCAAGAACGGGUGUGAGGGUGGAAAGUUCACACUGUGACGGUAGCUUACCAGAAAGCGACGGCUAACUACGUG